GGGAACGUAUUCACCGCGGCAUGNUGAUCCGCGAUUACUAGCGAUUCCAGCUUCACGCACUCGAGUUGCAGAGUGCGAUCCGGACUACGAUCGGUUUUCUGGGAUUGGCUCCACCUCGCGGCUUGGCAACCCUCUGUUCCGACCAUUGUAUGACGUGUGAAGCCCUACCCAUAAGGGCCAUGAGGACUUGACGUCAUCCCCACCUUCCUCCGGUUUGUCACCGGCAGUCUCCCUAGAGUGCUCUUGCGUAGCAACUAGGGACAAGGGUUGCGCUCGUUGCGGGACUUAACCCAACAUCUCACGACACGAGCUGACGACAGCCAUGCAGCACCUGUGUUAUGGCUCCCUUUCGGGCACUCCCACCUCUCAGCAGGAUUCCAUACAUGUCAAGGGUA
rnacentral:rRNA from 1 species